GAUGCUUGAAGAAGUAUCAGUUCCUGCAGUGAAUAAAUUCAAAAGAAGAGCUUUAAUGUUGGUGAUACUGAGCCUUUCCCCAUCGGAAUUUUCUCUAUUAGCCAUAACAACAUCAAGAAAGUCAGGCUUCCCUUUGCGCAGAUGGGUGGUAGCCAUAUGAUCCUCCAUCAUUUUUGUCAAUAACGCAUCAAAUUUCUUAUGCAAUUUCUUCAUCCCUCGUUCUAUCCCUUGCAAAUCCAUCCAAGCAAUUGAAGGUAUGAAGUCACCAAUGUUGAAGAAUCCUGCAGAGGUCAUUAGCUCUACCACCAUGUCCUUGAACUCGUUAGACUCUGAACCUUUGGUCACAAACACCCGACGGCUAAGAAUUAUUUGGCCAAUCAUAUUAGCCAUGGCAUAGGUUAACAUUUCCGGUACCACCACUGGUUCAUUUCUUUGGCUAGCUUCACACAUGGCUCGAAGCAUAUGACCUAGCUCAGCAGACCUAACCUGACCCCAGUCCUCCAGAGCUUUACCACCUAGCAUAUGAAGGUUACUUAACUUGCGUAAUAGUUUCCACCUGGGACCAUAAUCUGCAAAAACCAUGUCUUGAGCGUUAUAGGCUAAGUG
rnacentral:misc_RNA from 1 species